rnacentral:rRNA from 1 species
AACGUAGGAGACAAACGUUAUCCGGAGUUACUGGGCGUAAAGGGCGUGUAGGCGGUUUGUUAAGUCUGGCGUGAAAGCUCUCGGCUAAACCGGGAGAGGUCGUUGGAUACUGGCAAACUAGAGGAUGGUAGAGGCGUGUGGAAUUCCGGGUGUAGUGGUGAAAUGCGUAGAGAUCCGGAGGAACACCGGUGGCGAAGGCGGCAUCCUGGACCAACACUGACGCUGAGUGAGCGAAAGCCAGGGGAGCAAACGGG